UACAGAGGGUGCAAGCGUUAAUCGGAAUUACUGGGCGUAAAGCGUGCGUAGUCGGUUAUUUAAGUCGGGCGUGAAAGCCCCGGGCUCAACCUGGGAAUUGCGUUCGAUACUGAAUAGCUAGAGUUCGGCAGAGGGAAGCGGAAUUUCGGGUGUAGCGGUGAAAUGCGUAGAUAUCCGAAGGAACAUCAGUGGCGAAAGCGGCUUCCUGGACCAGAACUGACGAUCAGGCACGAAAGCGUGGGGAGCAAACAGG
rnacentral:rRNA from 1 species